rnacentral:rRNA from 1 species
UGGGGAAUUUUGGACAAUGGGGGCAACCCUGAUCCAGCAAUGCCGCGUGUGUGAAGAAGGCCUUCGGGUUGUAAAGCACUUUUGUCCGGAAAGAAAACGCCGUGGUUAAUACCCGUGGCGGAUGACGGUACCGGAAGAAUAAGCACCGGCUAACUACGUGCCAGCAGCCGCGGUAAUACGUAGGGUGCAAGCGUUAAUCGGAAUUACUGGGCGUAAAGCGCGCGCAGGCGGUCCGCUAAGACAGAUGUGAAAUCCCCGGGCUUAACCUGGGAACUGCAUUUGUGACUGGCGGGCUAGAGUAUGGCAGAGGGGGGUAGAAUUCCACGUGUAGCAGUGAAAAUGCGUAGAGAUGUGGAGGAAUACCGAUGGCGAAGGCAGCCCCCUGGGCCAAUACUGACGCUCAUGCACGAAAGCGUGGGGAGCAAACAGGAUUAGAUACCCUGGUAGUCCACGCCCUAAACGAUGUCAACUAGUUGUCGGGUCUUCAUUGACUUGGUAACGUAGCUAACGCGUGAAGUUGACCGCCUGGGGAGUACGGUCGCAAGAUUAAAACUCAAAU